CCUGCCCCUAGGGCAUGGCAGAUAUGGCUGCUACGUCACAUGUGCAUUAGUAGGUGGCGGAAGGAGAGAGGCUGUGUCUACAGAGCUGUUCUGACCUAUGGACAUCUGAAUGAUUAGUAGCCUAACAUU